UGGAUCACCUCCUAACAGGGAGACAACAAAAUGUUUAAUAUUAUUAUUUUGUCACCUUAGGUCGAUCGGUAUCUCACAUUCUUAAUUUAUUAAGGAUUUUAUUUCCUAAGUUUUUUCUAGGUCACACCCAUUACUUUUCCUGGGCCAUUAGCUCAGGUGGUUAGAGCGCACCCCUGAUAAGGGUGAGGUCCCUGGUUCAAGUCCAGGAUGGCCCAUAUCUCUAUGUUGGGGGUAUAGCUCAGUUGGUAGAGCGCCUGCUUUGCAAGCAGGAUGUCAGCGGUUCGAGUCCGCUUACCUCCACUGAUUACCACCUCUUCCAUAAUUAUUCGGGAAAUGUUUUGAGUAGUGAUCAAAUUCUGAACGAAUCUAGCUUCCUAAUGAAUUCAUUAAGAUGCUGGACUCAUUGAAUUAUUUUCAUUGUUUUCAGAGAACCUUGACAACUGCAUAGAUUAUUUUUAAAGACAAUAAGCAUCUUUAUGAUGCAGAUUUAUUAUUUGUGCGAAUGCAUUAAUAACAAUUCUAUUAAGCUGAUGCUUCAAUUAUGAAGUUAUUGGUCAAGCUACAAAGGGCUCACGGAGGAUACCUAGGCACACAGAGGCGAUGAAGG
rnacentral:tRNA from 1 species